rnacentral:rRNA from 1 species
CCUACGGGUGGCAGCAGUGGGGAAUAUUGGACAAUGGGCGAAAGCCUGAUCCAGCCAUGCCGCGUGUGUGAAGAAGGCCUUCGGGUUGUAAAGCACUUUCAGUGGGGAAGAAAGCCUUGGGGCUAAUACCCUCGAGGAAGGACAUCACCCACAGAAGAAGCACCGGCUAACUCCGUGCCAGCAGCCGCGGUAAUACGGAGGGUGCGAGCGUUAAUCGGAAUUACUGGGCAUAAAGCGCGCGUAGGCGGUCUGAUAAGCCGGUUGUGAAAGCCCCGGGCUCAACCUGGGAACGGCAUCCGGAACUGUCAGGCUAGAGUGCAGGAGAGGAAGGUAGAAUUCCCGGUGUAGCGGUGAAAUGCGUAGAGAUCGGGAGGAAUACCAGUGGCGAAGGCGGCCUUCUGGACUGACACUGACGCUGAGGUGCGAAAGCGUGGGUAGCAAACAGGAUUAGAUACCCGAGUAGUC